UAACGGCGAGUGAAGCGGCAACAGCUCAAAUUUGAAAUCUGGCUCCUUCGGGGUCCGAGUUGUAAUUUGUAGAGGGUGCUUUGGCGUCGGCCAUGGUCUAAGUUCCUUGGAACAGGACGUCACAGAGGGUGAGAAUCCCGUACGUGGCCGCUGGCCUUCGCCAUGUAAAGCCCCUUCGACGAGUCGAGUUGUUUGGGAAUGCAGCUCUAAAUGGGAGGUAAAUUUCUUCUAAAGCUAAAUAUUGGCCAGAGACCGAUAGCGCACAAGUAGAGUGAUCGAAAGAUGAAAAGCACUUUGGAAAGAGAGUCAAAAAGCACGUGAAAUUGUUGAAAGGGAAGCGCUUGCAGCCAGACUUGCCCGUAGUUGCUCAUCCAGGUUUCGGCCUGGUGCACUCUUCUGCGGGCAGGCCAGCAUCAGUCCAGGCGGUCGGAUAAAGGUCCCGGGAAUGUGGCUCUCUUCGGGGAGUGUUAUAGCCCGGGGCGCAAUGCGGCCAGCUUGGACUGAGGUCCGCGCAUCUGCUAGGAUGCUGGCGUAAUGGCUGUAAGCGGCCCGUCUUGAAACACGGACCAAGGAGUCUAACAUCUAUGCGAGUGUUUGGGUGUCAAGCCCGAGCGCGCAAUGAAAGUGAACGGAGGUGGGAACCCGCAAGGGCGCACCAUCGACCGAUCCUGAUGUCUUCGGAUGGAUUUGAGUAAGAGCAUAGCUGUUGGGACCCGAAAGAUGGUGAACUAUGCCUGAAUAGGGUGAAGCCAGAGGAAACUCUGGUGGAGGCUCGCAGCGGUUCUGACGUGCAAAUCGAUCGUCAAAUUUGGGCAUAGGGGCGAAAGACUAAUCGAACUAUCUAAUAGCUGGUUCCUGCCGAAGUUCCCUCAGGA
rnacentral:rRNA from 1 species